GGAGGCCCCCCUAGAGACGCGAUCUGCUGCCUGGCAGACUUUCAACUCAAGGAGGACAUACUGCGCAAAGCACCCGGACUGGAGAGGAUUGUACUACACGGCGUGGAGGUACAGCUUUACCCCGACCUCUCCCCGGCUACCUUGGCUUACCGGAGGGCGAUGAGGCCCCUCACUAGAGCUCUCCAAGCACAAAAGAUUAGAUACCGAUGGAAUUUCCCGACUGGGCUACAGGCCAUCACUGCCGAGGGCACCUUCACUGUCCGUCACCCUGAGGACUUAACCGACUUAAUUGUGGAGCUGCAACUCCCUCCCAUCCACAUGACAUGGCCGGACCCCGCCGCCUUUUACAUGAUGAACUCUGACACACGAGGACCCCCCAUCCCUGCCCCGCAGAAGCAGGGGAUCCCGCCAGCAAGCCACCAGGCUCUCGGGGACCGCAGCAUAAGUGACCUGGAGGCGACCGCAGCACAUAUC